rnacentral:rRNA from 1 species
AGAUUAAGUUAUUAAGGGCGCACGGUGGAUGCCUUGGCACUAGAAGCCGAUGAAGGACGUUACUAACGACGAUAUGCUUUGGGGAGCUGUAAGUAAGCUUUGAUCCAGAGAUUUCCGAAUGGGGAAACCCAGCAUGAGUUAUGUCAUGUUAUCGAUAUGUGAAUACAUAGCAUAUCAGAAGGCACACCCGGAGAACUGAAACAUCUUAGUACCCGGAGGAAGAGAAAGAAAAUUCGAUCCCCUUAGUAGCGGCGAGCGAAACGGGAAGAGCCCAAACCAACAAGCUUGCUUGUUGGGGUUGUAGGACACUCUAUACGGAGUUACAAAGGACGACAUUAGACGAAUCAUCUGGAAAGAUGAAUCAAAGAAGGUAAUAAUCCUGUAGUCGAAAAUGUUGUCUCUCUUGAGUGGAUCCUGAGUACGACGGAGCACGUGAAAUUCCGUCGGAAUCUGGGAGGACCAUCUCCUAAGGCUAAAUACUCUCUAGUGACCGAUAGUGAACCAGUACCGUGAGGGAAAGGUGAAAAGCACCCCGGAAGGGGAGUGAAAUAGAACCUGAAACCGUGUGCUUACAAGUAGUCAGAGCCCGUUAAUGGGUGAUGGCGUGCCUUUUGUAGAAUGAACCGGCGAGUUACGAUUUGAUGCAAGGUUAAGCAGUAAAUGUGGAGCCGUAGCGAAAGCGAGUCUGAAUAGGGCGUUUAGUAUUUGGUCGUAGACCCGAAACCAGGUGAUCUACCCUUGGUCAGGUUGAAGUUCAGGUAACACUGAAUGGAGGACCGAACCGACUUACGUUGAAAAGUGAGCGGAUGAACUGAGGGUAGCGGAGAAAUUCCAAUCGAACCUGGAGAUAGCUGGUUCUCUCCGAAAUAGCUUUAGGGCUAGCCUCAAGUGAUGAUUAUUGGAGGUAGAGCACUGUUUGGACGAGGGGCCCCUCUCGGGUUACCGAAUUCAGACAAACUCCGAAUGCCAAUUAAUUUAACUUGGGAGUCAGAACAUGGGUGAUAAGGUCCGUGUUCGAAAGGGAAACAGCCCAGACCACCAGCUAAGGUCCCAAAAUAUAUGUUAAGUGGAAAAGGAUGUGGCGUUGCCCAGACAACUAGGAUGUUGGCUUAGAAGCAGCCAUCAUUUAAAGAGUGCGUAAUAGCUCACUAGUCGAGUGACACUGCGCCGAAAAUGUACCGGGGCUAAACAUAUUACCGAAGCUGUGGAUUGUCCUUUGGACAAUGGUAGGAGAGCGUUCUAAGGGCGUUGAAGCAUGAUCGUAAGAACAUGUGGAGCGCUUAGAAGUGAGAAUGCCGGUGUGAGUAGCGAAAGACGGGUGAGAAUCCCGUCCACCGAUUGACUAAGGUUUCCAGAGGAAGGCUCGUCCGCUCUGGGUUAGUCGGGUCCUAAGCUGAGGCCGACAGGCGUAGGCGAUGGAUAACAGGUUGAUAUUCCUGUACCACCUAUAAUCGUUUUAAUCGAUGGGGGGGACGCAGUAGGAUAGGCGAAGCGUGCGAUUGGAUUGCACGUCUAAGCAGUAAGGCUGAGUAUUAGGCAAAUCCGGUACUCGUUAAGGCUGAGCUGUGAUGGGGAGAAGACAUUGUGUCUUCGAGUCGUUGAUUUCACACUGCCGAGAAAAGCCUCUAGAUAGAAAAUAGGUGCCCGUACCGCAAACCGACACAGGUAGUCAAGAUGAGAAUUCUAAGGUGAGCGAGCGAACUCUCGUUAAGGAACUCGGCAAAAUGACCCCGUAACUUCGGGAGAAGGGGUGCUCUUUAGGGUUAACGCCCAGAAGAGCCGCAGUGAAUAGGCCCAAGCGACUGUUUAUCAAAAACACAGGUCUCUGCUAAACCGUAAGGUGAUGUAUAGGGGCUGACGCCUGCCCGGUGCUGGAAGGUUAAGAGGAGUGGUUAGCUUCUGCGAAGCUACGAAUCGAAGCCCCAGUAAACGGCGGCCGUAACUAUAACGGUCCUAAGGUAGCGAAAUUCCUUGUCGGGUAAGUUCCGACCCGCACGAAAGGCGUAACGAUUUGGGCACUGUCUCAACGAGAGACUCGGUGAAAUCAUAGUACCUGUGAAGAUGCAGGUUACCCGCGACAGGACGGAAAGACCCCGUGGAGCUUUACUGUAGCCUGAUAUUGAAAUUCGGCACAGCUUGUACAGGAUAGGUAGGAGCCUUUGAAACGUGAGCGCUAGCUUACGUGGAGGCGCUGGUGGGAUACUACCCUAGCUGUGUUGGCUUUCUAACCCGCACCACUUAUCGUGGUGGGAGACAGUGUCAGGCGGGCAGUUUGACUGGGGCGG